rnacentral:rRNA from 1 species
AACUCCGCUUGAUCCUGGCGGACCCAACUGCUAUCGGGAUGAGACUAAGCCAUGCGAGUCAAACGCUUCCAGGCCAAUGUGGGAGCGUGGCAUACGGCUCAGUAACACGUGGCUAACCUACCCUCCGGACUGGGACAACUUCGGGAAACUGAGGCUAAUCCCGGAUAGACGAAGAGGCCUGGAAUGGUUCUCCGUCUAAAGGGCAUCAGGGCCAUGCUUCCUGAUGUCGCCAGAGGAUGGGGCCGCGACCGAUCAGGUUGUUGGUGAGGUAACGGCUCACCAAGCCUAUAACCGGUACGGGCCGUGA